AUCUCUGGUGGCAAUGUGAGCGGAAACAAGGAGGCGGUAAGAGUUGACAUCGGCGGUUUGAAGAGUUGUAUAAUUAAGCACCGAGGAAAGUGACCGGUUGGGUACUGGAAGGGCAAUCUCAUAGGAACCUUGGGUAGACAAAUGAGAUAGAAGGUGUGGCAUUAUUCUUGUAAGGGGAAAUUAGUAUAUAUAACUAGCUGGUGAGAAAAAAAGAAGGGAAAUAUAGUAGAGAGAUCUCUGUGGUUUCCAAAACACUGGGUUUGAUUUGGAGCGUCGCAAGGGUAAAGAAACCAAACCAGGAAAAAAGGGAAGAAAGAAAGAAAGAAAGAAAGAAAGAAAGAAAGAAAGAAAGAAAAAGAAAACAACAAGUAGCAAAUGAUUACAGACCAACACUGCACAAUAAAUCAAAUGAAUAAGUAAAUAAAAGAAAACCUGUGCGAAAGCAACCAAAUCAGAAAUAGAUAGGCAAACGUAUCCGGG
rnacentral:sRNA from 1 species